UGAAUGGAUAGAGGUUGCGUGAUUCAUGAGUAAUUUAUCGGAUGUGGCAGGCACAGUGGAAGAUAAUGGAAAGGGAAGAACGCCGAAAGAAUUCUUUUCCUGUAGAGAGAUUCUUGGGCAUAUAAUGAAUAAUUAUAUGACUGUCAUCUUAAGAUGGAUGGAGCGCUAUCACAGAU
rnacentral:ncRNA from 2 species